GGAAAAGGAACAAAAAGCAGCUCAAGGGAGGAAGAAGAGAGAGAAGUAUGGUCGACUACUGGGGCCCGGUAGUGCAGGCAGUGGGCGUGCGGCACAGUGACACAGCUCAGACUCGUGACUCAGAUGCUUUUUCUGAGUUAAGCUCUACAUUGUUUGCUUCAUGAACAGAGUCUUUCUUGAGGAUCUGCAGCUAGCUACUUGACAUAAAAGUCACAUCCAGAACACAAUAAAAAAAAAUGCUGGAUAAUUA